rnacentral:rRNA from 1 species
GGGUCAGUAGGUUGGUCGUGCCACCGGUACGUACUGGUCCCACUGAUUCCUCCCUCCUGAAGAACCGUAAUGCCAUUAAUUUGGUGUUGCGGGGAAACAGGACUGUUACUUUGAAAAAAUUAGAGUGUUUAAAGCAAGCUAACGCUUGAAUACAUUAGCAUGGAAUAAUGAAAUAGGACGAUCGAUCCUAUUUUGUUGGUUUCUAGGAUUGACGUA